UGCAAAUGGUCGUUUGCAUAGGGAAUACAGAUUCAUUAUGAUAUUUAAUGUAAAAAUCGCUUUAUUUUUAUCAUUUAUUCACCAAUCACAAUCACAUUUAUGGACCUAAUACGUUAUUUUCUUAUGGUGCUAUCAAUUCAUGUAAAAGUAUGUUACACUUCACAAUUGCUGGUAAAAAUUGCAUCGUACAUUUGACAUAUUAUAUACUAGAUAAGUCUCUCUAUUUUGAAGCAAGUUCUUGUAUGUGCAUUAACAUCCCCCUAAAGUUUAAACUAACAGGAAAAUAUGCACUCUUAGCAUCAGUUCAUCACAUACCAUACAAUGUGUGAAAAUUAGAACACAGGGAGCACCGACUAAUUGAUAUCUAAUGUAAAAAUCCCUUAUCAUUUCAUCCUUUAUUCACCAAUCAACAUUUAUCAACUCCAUUUUGUUAUUUUCUUUAUGGUGCUACCAGUAUCAAUAUUUUAUAUAAAAGUACGCUUGAUGUCACAAUUUAGCUUGUAAAAAUUGCAUCGUAUAUUUGACAUAUAUAGUAAACUCAUUGAUUCAAUAAGUCUAUCUGCUUUGAUCAAGAGUACCACGGAUUGUGUCCUGUUGUCUAUGUGUUACAAGUGACACGCAUCCGGAGAUUUUUAAAGAUCUGGGUCACAAGUAACCAACACAGGUAAAAUCAUCGUUAUCAAAAGUAGUCUUUUCUAAUGUCUACUUAUUAAAUUAUAAGAAAGCCUCUCAUUACUUAUUAUUCUUUUUAUACGAUUGAAAUAUUUCUUUAAAACACUUCAUACGAGUCCAUUUUAGGAUAUAUAUUCCGGGAAAAUAUAUCCCGUUUUCUGAACCGAUUCUGUGUUUUACACACACAAUAUAAACAACACGCUAGACUCAGCUUUGAAUAUGAAUAAAUUACACGAACUGACAAUCGAUUAACAAGACAUACGAAUAAAAUAUGCAAAAUCCCUCAAUGUUACAAACAUAAAUAUCGUUAAAAACAUGGCCGUAAUGAUAUUUUUUAUAGCAAACGACGAACCCGACUCCACGAUUACACGAUAUAAACUUCGAAGAUGGCGAUAGCCUCUAUCUGACACCGUCUAAAAUUAGAUUACCCAUGACCUCAUGUUUGCAUUUUGAAUUCGUCGCUUUCAUGCUAAAUUUCUAAAAUAUCAUGACACGGCGCGGUCGGAUAUUAUAUUAGUUAACAUCUAUUUCUGUGAAAAGAAUUCCAAUAGGGGAUAAAUACCAACAGCGAGAGCAAGGGGAAAAUGAAGGCAGACAUGGAUAUUUUAUUAUGAGUACAUCAACAAACGGUGAAGAGACUUACCUCAACAUGGCUUACGCUUCCAUAAAAAUCAACAUGGCUGACUGACGUAUUUCCGGUUCCGACACAAAACAAAACAUUGUUCAUGUUCAACGACCACGCUCUUCUGUGUUUCAUUUUCGCUUGCGUAUAUAUGAUUCAAAUUAUUUUACAUUUUUUAAAAUAAAUCAUAGACUUUUGAACAGAA